UUAAGCCAGCCAUAGGAUCCUUGAAAACUUUGGAUCCAAAACACUCUUUUAGGUUAUGGGCAUAAGAAGGCCAGGUUAGCAGAUGAAAUCCACCUUGCCUUUGGGUGAAGAAGUGGUGCCAAUCCAAUGCUUUUCCCUCAAGAUGCAACAUCACAGUACUUACCUUAGCCUAGUCAAUGACUCUUUCACCUUAAAGUAUUGUUCUCGUUUGGCCCACCACCCUCGAAAGUGUGUACCAUUGAAUCGAGGACAUUCGAGCUUGUGGCUCUUAGGGUUGAGUUCCAAAUUGCCAGACCUUGAUGGGGGUACCUAUGCCUUCUAGUUCCAUCAUUGGGUGUUAGUGGCAGAUGGUCCCUAGGUGAAAACCCUAGUGGUGGACCUCCCAGCACCCCUUACCCUUAUUGAGGGAUGAAGUUGUCGAAUGAGCUGGAUCUGAGUUGCCUAAGUACUAUUUAAAGAGACCUAACUCCAGUUUAAGUUCUCCACGAAACUUUUCCUUGAACUCUUUCAAAUGUGAAUCCAAUCUAUUGUCCCACUGAGAGAGCUCUACCUGAAGCUUGGCUAAUUCUUGUUGCAAGUGUCCAACAUCCUUUUGCGAUUUGGUGGUGAUGUCAUCG
rnacentral:lncRNA from 1 species